rnacentral:rRNA from 1 species
CGGGGGGGCAAGCGUUGUUCGGAAUUACUGGGCGUAAAGGGUUCGUAGGUGGCCAACUAAGUCAGGCGUGAAAGCCCUCAGCUUAACUGGGGAACUGCGUCUGAUACUGAUUGGCUUGAGUGCAGGAGAGGAAUGCGGAAUUCCAGGUGUAGCGGUGAAAUGCGUAGAUAUCUGGAGGAACACCGGUGGCGAAGGCGGCAUUCUGGACUGCAACUGACACUGAAGAACGAAAGCCAGGGGAGCAAACGGGAUUAGAUACCCCGGUAGUCCUGGCCCUAAACGAUGAAUGCUUGGUGUGGCGGGUAUCGAUCCCCGCCGUGCCGUAGUUAACGCGUUAAGCAUUCCGCCUGGGGAGUACGGUCGCAAGGCUG